CUUCCAGAGCUUCCGUAUGGCUGGGAAAAAAUCGAUGACCCCAUAUACGGCACGUACUAUGUCGACCACAUAAAUAGAAGAACACAGUUUGAAAACCCUGUCCUGGAAGCAAAAAGGAAGCUACAACAGCAUAACAUGCCCCACACAGAACUUGGAACAAAGCCCCUGCAGGCCCCAGGUUUCCGAG